GAGAAUCGCCCGAGAAUUAACAACUUUUGUUGCCGCGUGUAAUAAUAGACUUUUAAAACCGAUUGUACUAUCGAUAGAUUAGAAAUUUUCGGAAUAUUUUAUUUCCGAACGUGUUCAAUAAUUCGAUAGUAAAAUAGUUAGUUUGCGGGAGUGAUAUGUAUAUUUGAUUUCGCUAUCCAUAUAAAGCGAUGAUAGUUUAACAAAGUUGGUGUUAAAUGUCGGUGGGUGAUAUCCCCAUUCACAGGGGUCCAGAUCAAAUAAUGUGGAAAAGGCCGUGUCGCAAAUUAUAUACAUAGUCCUAAAGAAAAGCAGAUAAACGUAAAUGCAUGUGUGAAUGCGAAAUGAAGCAAAUUUUUUAUGAAAUCACCACAACGUUUUAUUUAGCAUCAAUAAAAUUCCGAUAUGUGAAAAUAAAUGCAUAAAUUUAUUAUAUUUGGAUAUGUAUAUAUUCACAUAUGAACGUACAUGUAUGCCCUUCCAAUUAUAUUCUUAUCGUGACACAAAUGGAUUAUUAAAAGAAAUUUGGUUGACAUUUAUAUUAAAGUGGAUUGGUUUCAGCGCACAAAUAUGGUCUUCAUAAUAUUUGAAACAGGAAUGCAACUUUGGCUUACUUCGUGUUGAGAAAUUCAAUAGACAAGAAUGAGGACGAAGGUUUUUUCGUAUGUGAAGUACAUCUGUUUUGGCUCCAACAUUUUUGUCAGCGCAAUAUUAAUCCUAUAUUAUGUCCAUUGUAAUAAUUAUUCGAGAUGAGGUUAUUAUAUUGCAACCAGAAAGGUAUCAAAGCAGACAAUUACACACGCAAGCAAUAACAGCUUAUGGUACCGCCAAUACUACAGGGUACCAACGGAUGAGAGCAGCUGUUCCAGAAAAAAUAAUAUUUUCAGAUAAUAAAACUUCCAGCUUCUAAACUUCUGAAAUAUAUAUGUGAUGCGGAAAUUAAGGAAAAGGUCAUACAAGUAAAACCAACAACAUUAUCGUUGAAUUACCUGUUGAAGUAAUAAAUAUUAAAAUGACUUCGGAAGACCUUUUGCAACCAGGUCACGUGGUCAAAGAAAGAUGGAAAGUUGUGCGAAAAAUAGGUGGUGGGGGGUUUGGAGAAAUUUAUGAAGGGCAAGACUUGAUAACUCGCGAACAAGUUGCGCUAAAAGUGGAAUCAGCACGGCAGCCAAAACAAGUUCUAAAAAUGGAGGUAGCCGUUCUAAAGAAAUUACAAGGCAAAGAGCAUGUUUGCCGCUUUAUAGGUUGUGGACGAAAUGACCGUUUUAAUUAUGUUGUUAUGCAACUGCAAGGAAAAAACCUUGCUGAACUACGUCGAGCGCAACCUCGUGGAGCAUUUUCGUUGAGUACUACUUUGCGACUUGGACUGCAGAUAUUAAAAGCUAUUGAAUCCAUACAUUCAGUGGGAUUUUUACAUCGUGAUAUUAAACCUAGCAACUUUUCUAUUGGACGUUUACCCUACAAUUGCCGUCGGGUAUAUAUGUUGGAUUUUGGGCUUGCUCGUCAGUAUACCACAGGAACAGGAGAGGUCCGUUGUCCCCGUGCCGCGGCUGGAUUCCGGGGCACUGUACGAUAUGCAUCUAUAAAUGCGCAUCGAAAUCGUGAAAUGGGACGUCAUGAUGAUUUGUGGUCCUUAUUUUACAUGUUAGUUGAGUUCGUGAACGGCCAAUUACCGUGGCGUAAGAUUAAAGAUAAGGAGCAAGUAGGCUUUACGAAAGAGAAGUAUGAUCACCGCAUUUUACUAAAACACUUGCCUUCCGAUUUAAAACAAUUUUUAGAACAUAUACAAUCGCUCGCUUACGCCGAUCGCCCCGAUUAUGCGAUGUUGAUCGGGUUAUUCGAGCGCUGUAUGAAACGUCGAGGAGUAAAAGAUUCUGAUCCUUAUGAUUGGGAAAAGAUAGAUACUGUUAAUGCAACUACUAGUCAAACAACAAAUGCUGUUCAAAUACUGGGUAAAAACGAAUAUGCACAUGGAAAUACUACGCAGAUGACAGUUGCUGCGUCAAAUAUUAGCGGAACUGAAUAUCCACGACACCGUAACGAUAUGGACACAGCAUUACUUGCUUCAACAGAUCCGAUAAAUGGAAAGGAAAAGGUUGACAAAAAUUGCAACGCACCUUUACCACAGAUCGACGGUCUUUUGUUGAAUAUGAGCUCCUGCAAUCAGAACACGGUUCAGAAGGCAAAUCCUGGGCAAUCAGCAAAUUUAACAGGUUCUGCAAAUGUCCAUUGCGUUAAAACAGUUGACCAAACUCAUGAUCAGAAAACACAACCAAAGUUACCAUCUCAACCACACUUGAAUGCACCCCAAAUAACUUUAUUUUUGCCGUCAGCACCACCAAAUGUGUCUAAUUCCACUGGUGUAAUAAAACCAUCUACAGUAACGGGCUCCAAUCGCUCAGAUUGUGCUGGUUCGGUUACAGGCUCCACACCUCCAUUGAAUAAUCACAAACACCAUCCAAAGCAGCAAUUUAUUCACGGACAUUCACUCGUUCAAGCUAGAUCAAAUUCACCUUCCGCGCAAACUGUACGCAAAAACUAUUCAUCUCCUAUACAGGCUCAAAUUGGUGGCUGUGAUAAAGAAGUAGGACCGAAUUCUACCUCUCUGCAAUCCCAUUUACAUAAUGAUGACAUACUCAUUGGUGAUACUAGUAUAGCAGAGGAUCAACUUAAUUACCAAAAUGUCGUUGAAGGUCAAAGUGAAGUUGGAUGUGAUGGCUCGCCAAAAAAAAUACAAAGAUCUGACGGCACUAAUGACGAGCCUAAUUUUAAUCAGAAUUUGAAUGCAACUGAACCACUUAUAAAAGGAACAUCGAGUGUGUAUGAUCCAGCAGUGAGCAGCGGAUGUUUCAUAUUAAAUGAAAGUGCGUCUUCUCACGCUCAUGAUGCAACCCCAUUUUCUUUUGAUGUCGCUUUGGGUCCUUCAAAAGCAGUUGUCCUUCAAAAUAACAUUAGCAGUCAACGAACUUCUCAAAUAGGACCGACCGGAGGAAUACAACAACAUAUUUAUAUUGGGCCAGCCACAAAAUAUCGUUCAUCAACAGCUUCCAGUUUGCGGCCAGCGUUUAAUUCUAGUGGAGCGGUACACCGUUUCGGCAAUAUUGGAUUGGCACGCAGUAGUAAUGGACCCGGCGUAGCUGGAGAUCAUUCCAUGACUCAGUACGCUUUGAUAGAUGACGAAAACGUGUCGGCGUUGCAGCAAGUAACUAAAGGUGGCGGAGCUCUCACUUUGGCAUCUCAGUGGAAAAGUCAGUUUGAUGAUUCGGAGGAUACGACAGAUAACGAAUGGAAACAAGAACCUCAGAGUCCAGACCAUAGAUCGGCCGGGAAAAUGCUUACCGAUUCCCAAUCGAAUUUAUUCGAAGAUACUAGAGAAACAAACCAACAAGCUGUAUUGGUCACUACAGGUGUUGUGAAUGCCAUAGAACCUCUUCCAGACUUAGACUGUGCAAAAUCAACCGAUUUUUGUGAGGACGUAUCAUUUCAACGAAAGCAACAUAUGCAUUCAAGGUCAAUACAAAAGAAGUGUAACUUAAAUAAUACUGAAGUUAAGAUCAACUCAACGUUAAGGGCCAUUAUUCCUCGUUGCUGGUCAGAUCCUGUCAUGUGCACGGUACUGCGUAAAGACUUAAAACCUCCAAUUAUACAUCAGGCUGCGUUUGAUAACACAGCCUUUCGUAUGGAUAUAAGUAGAAAUGUUUGUGUACGUGACACUAUAACUGCGUCCGCUCACAUGUCGGAAAAAUUUCAAUCUGCGCCACCUAACAAAGUCAAAUCGACUUGUUAUGAAAAUAUCAUUAAAAAUGAAGAGAGAAUGUAUAAUAGUUUGCCGAAUAUGUUUUUCCGUGACAACCAAAUAGCAGCGGUACAGAAAGAUGUUUUACAGCCACUUGAUUUUAUAUUCAUACCUUGGCGAAUGGAAGCAAACACCUUUCAAAGGACAACAGUGCCUUUAUCUAAUGAAUACUGUGAAGAAUUGAAAUCGUCAACGGAGGCAUGCAAGAACUUUGAAAAUCAUCAAGGCGCUGCCGGCAGUAGCUCUUUUAAUAACAAAAAGGCACUAAGCGAAAGUUGUGUAAGUGGUCGUUUGGAAAUUCGAGUUAUACCGCAAGAAAAACUAAACGCAAAGGAGAAUUUUAUCUACAAUAUUGUUCCUACAGAACUUAUCAAAGACAAAAUAGAUUCAGCUAUUACUGUUGUCCCUCUAGAAGCGAAUGAUAGUGACACCAGAUCUGCUAAAAUUGGAGUAUUAACACAGAAACAACCAAGGCAAACGAAUCAAAGCAGUAUGAUAAUUUCACCAAAUUCAAAAAUAUUUCGUGAUCUAUUAAAAAUAAGUGGUUCUGACAUUACUGAUACUGAAAAAAAAUCUUACUGUAGUCCUAUAAAUACACCCAGUAAAAGUGAAGACAUCAAGCAUAAGAACGAAUCUGAUGGUAUUUUAUCUACAGUCCUAACAAAUAUUAAUACUGGUGAUGCUUCAACAAGAACUAAUGUACCCGGAUAUAAUCGAAUAAAUAUCAAUGAAGUCGUCUGCGAGGAUGAACUAAAUGGUUCAAAAAGUAGUGAAAUUCCAGGUUUAGUUUGCUUACCGCCGAGUAAAAUACCGGUUCCCAACAUUCGACAAACAAAAUGUGCUUCCUGGUCUGGAUCAGAUUUAACAGCCGCGUUAUCACUGAUGGGAACAAGUUCGUACUCCGUCACAACAACAAUACAGGAAUCCGAGUUGACAAGAAAUAAUGAAAAAAAUUGGGAGAACUGUACAAAACGAACAGCCAAUGAUGUUAAAGGCGCUAACGUAAAUCAAAACACAACUUUGACGGAUUUAACACCAGAUGGCUGGCAGAAAAAAGCGUUCAGGGUGGACUUUUAAAGAUGAGUUGGAGCUGCUGGAAAAAUGGGAGGCACGUUCCCACGACCGCCGGCGUGCAAAGCGAAAUGCUCAUAUAUACAAUGAGAUUUCGCAGGAAAUGGCACAAAAAUACACCGCCGAGAAAAUUCACUGCAAAGUGAAAAAUAUGACAAAGAAAUACAGAGAGGAGAAAACCAAAAUUGGCCCUUCUGGUGGUAGUCCCUCGCCUUGGAGGCAUUAUAAUGCUGUGAAUCGCAUAGUAGGGUGUACUGCCGUUAAUUCGGCCUUGUACAUAGAGACAUACUCGUAUUCCGAGAAUUCAACAUUAAACCAAUUGUUGCCGCCGUCCGACCCACCAUUAUCACCUCCGUUGCCAUCGCCAUCAUGUCCGCUGCCACCUUCGUUGCCGUCACCAUCACCGUCAUGUCCGCUGCCACCUUCGUUGCCGUCACCAUCACUGUCAUGUCCGAUGCCGUCACCAUCACCUUCAUCUGCAACAAGAAAACGUAAUUUUAGCGCCGAGUUGUUAAAGGUUUUAAAAAAACAAACAGACAUAUUAGAAAGGGUUGCGGAUGAAACCAAGCACGUUUCAGAGGAAAUAAUUCAGACUGUUCGACAGCACAAUAAUUUGUCAGAAAGAUUUUUAACCCUUAUGGAGAACAUCGCAGAGAAACUUUAAGUUUAAAAUAAUUGUAUCGUUUUUUUCUAGUCCUACACCAUUAUUUAAUGAAAUGUUUUAUUUUCUAGUCCUUAACCAUUAUUUAAUGAAAUGUUUUGUUAUUUUCUAGUCUUAAAACAUGAUAUAAUGUAACAAAAAAUGAAUUUAAAUAAAAAAUGAUCUCUUUAAAAAAUGGAUGUUUGUAAUUAUGUGUACUAAUAUUUGUUUUCUGCUACUCUAUACAUCUAUACUCACAAAAACUCAGAGCUAUUGCAUUUCUAAUAGCCGAUGCUCAUUUUCCCCAGCUCUUGUAGUGUGAUGUGGUUGAAUUUCUGUACUUAUUUCUGCAGCAUCUUGGAUCCACGAAGAUGGAAUUUCAUCAUUUUCAAUUUUUAGAAAAUUGUGCAAAAUACAGCAUGCAUGUAAAGGGUGAUUUUUUAAGAGCUUGAUAACUUUUUUUUUAAAAAAAACGCAUAAAAUAGAUAGAUUGGUUCAUGACAUUUACUUUUUGAAGAUAAUUUCAUUUAAAUGUUGACCGCGGCUGCGUCUUAGGUGGUCCAUUCGGAAAGUCCAAUUUUGGGCAACUUUUUCGAGCAUUUCGGCCGGAAUAGCCCGAAUUUCUUCGGAAAUGUUGUCUUCCAAAGCUGGAAUAGUUGCUGGCUUAUUUCUGUAGACUUUAGACUUGACGUAGCCCCACAAAAAAUAGUCUAAAGGCGUUAAAUCGCAUGAUCUUGGUGGCCAACUUACGGGUCCAUUUCUUGAGAUGAAUUGUUGUCCGAAGUUUUCCCUCAAAAUGGCCAUAGAAUCGCGAGCUGUGUGGCAUGUAGCGCCAUCUUGUUGAAACCACAUGUCAACCAAGUUCAGUUCUUCCAUUUUUGGCAACAAAAAGUUUGUUAGCAUCGAACGAUAGCGAUUCGCCAUUCACCGUAACGUUGCGUCCAACAGCAUCUUUGAAAAAAUACGGUCCAAUGAUUCCACCAGCGUACAAACCACACCAAACAGUGCAUUUUUCGGGAUGCAUGGGCAGUUCUUGAACGGCUUCUGGUUGCUCUUCACCCCAAAUGCGGCAAUUUUGCUUAUUUACGUAGCCAUUCAACCAGAAAUGAGCCUCAUCGCUGAACAAAAUUUGUCGCGAAACACAUUUCGAACCGAACACUGAUUUUGGUAAUAAAAUUCAAUGAUUUGCAAGCGUUGCUCGUUAGUAAGUCUAUUCAUGAUGAAAUGUCAAAGCAUACUGAGCAUCUUUCUCUUUGACACCAUGUCUGAAAUCCCACGUGAUCUGUCAAAUACUAAUGCAUGAAAAUCCUAACCUCAAAAAAAUCACCCGUUAUAAUAACGUUAACGUUUUUUGGAGCUACCGGUAAACCUCUGCCAAUUUUUCUAAAUCGGGCUUUUAGUUGACCGAAAGCAUUCUCUAUAACUCUGCGACAUUUUGAUAAACGAUAGUUAAAUGUUUUUUCUAACACUGGUUGAUUUGGUGAGUAUGGAAAAGGCUUCAUCAUGUAACGCGACAAUCGAAAAGCUGAAUCGCCAAUAAGUAAUACGGGGACAUUAACAUCUCCAAUCAUUUUGAUGCUCUGAGCAAAAAUAUCAGCGGUUUCAUGGAAUUUUUUUAAGGAACUACCUUCAAAAAUGUACGAAUCGUUGUUUCUUCCAGUUGACCCAACAUGUAUAUAUGUAAAUUUUGAUCUAUAAAAUAGUGAAAGAAUUUAUAUAAAUAUUUCCAAUAAGUACUAUAUAUUAAAUUUACCUAUAGUCGCAACUUGCCAGCAGAACAACCGAAUACCACCCCUUAUAAUUGUAAUAAUCUAUCGCAUCUUCCUUUUUCGGCUGAACCUCAAUGUGGCAGCCAUCUAUUGCUCCAAAACAUAGCGGAAAACCAAGGUGUGCAAAACCUUGUACAUUUCGCUCUACUUCUUCUGUGCUUGGGGGAUAGGAAUUGAUGCAAUCUGAUAAAUUUGUGCACUCAGCUUUGCAAAAAUCCACAACUAUUUCCUCAACUGUGUUGCGUCCUACGCCAAAUAAACUUGCUACAGUUCUGUAUUCCGCUGAAGAACCUAACGCAUACAACGCAAUAGCCACUCUUUUCUGAAGUGGAAUGCAAAGUCGCAUGUUGCUGUUGGACUUUCCGAUUUCCUUAACCUUUUCACAUAUUUUGUGAAAAGCUUCCUUGUUUAGACGAAAGUUUUCUUUAAAUCGGAUGUCAUCCAUCUUUUCGACAUCGUACUCCCAAAAACUGCCAUUGCGGUCCUUUUAUUAAUAACAUACAUAUAUAAAUGAGGGGUAUAAGAUAUUAAUAUUCAAUAUAUAAUUGUCUGUCAAAUUUCCAGGCGCUUCUUUCCCUUAUUUCCGAAGACGCCACUUUGGUACUAGUUUCCAGUAUCGCUUUUGUCAAUUCAUUCAUCGUUUUAAUCUUUUGAAGCAGAUUCACUAGUAAUGUAUUUAUUCUUUUGUUUACCAAAUUGUGGUUUUGCAUCAUCUGUGCGGCUAACAAUCGCAAUGCUUGUCUUCUAUCCAUUUUUGUUUUAUAAAAUUGAAAAUGUUAUUAAUAUGCCAAUCAGCUGUUCGGUAACUCGCUUCGCUGCUGUCUGUCACCUAUAAAUUUGGAUCUGAUUAAGGGCGCAGUUAAUCAGGUUUAACGCUGCCGUCUGUCAAGGCUAUUAGAGUACCACAAGAGAUUUGUUGUACUGUGUUUAUGACCAGCAAAUGUACGCAGAAACCGUAUAGCCGUACAGAAAAUCGAUCAGCGGGAAUAUUGGGGAUAGUUCACGGUGAUGUGUGCGGCCCAAUGAGAAUUUCAUCACUUGGUGGCGCUAGAUAUUUUUUAACGUUCAUUGAUGACAAAACGCGAUACGUCUUUCUUUAUCUUUUCAAAGGUAAAGAUGAAGUCUUGAAUACAUUUAAAGAAUGGCACAGUGCCAAAGUGGCAAAAAACUCAAAGUACUACGCAGCGAUAAUGGUACAGAGUUUGUAAAUAAUUCGUUUGAUAUUUUUUUAAAAGAAAAUGCCAUAAUACGGCAACUUGCUGUGCCAUACACACCUCAGCAGAAAGGCGUUGCAGAAGGAUUCAAUCGAACGCUGGUUGAAAUGGCGAGGAGUAUGUUAGUCGGUUCGGGUGUAAGCGAAAUUCUUUGGACAGAGGCUGUUUACACUGCAGCAUAUCUAUAAAACCGUGCGCCAACAAGAGAAUUGGACUCGAUGGCGCCAUAUGAAGCGUGGCCUGGUUAUAAACCAACGGUAGGACAUUUAUGUGUGUUUGGUUGUGUGGCAAUUGCUUUAGAUAAGAGGUAAAACAGUAAAUUCAAACCAAAAGCAAGGAGUAUACAUUAGUAGGAUACUCUGAUGUAUCGAAAGCGUACAGGUUAUAUGAUCGUGAGACGAGACGAUUGAUUGUAAGCAGAGAUGUACUUAUAUUUCGUUGAGUCAAUGGGGCGAAACCAACAAACGAAUAUGCAAACGGCGGUAGGUUUACAUGAGUACACACAUAUACAGGACAGCGGCAAUAGCGAUGUUGCAAAUUUAAAUACUAAUUCAGCCGAAAGUGAUGUACUGCAAUCAGCACUAGUUAACAGCGAUGAUGAGUUCCAAUCCGCUAAAGAAGAAAGUUCCAGUACUACAAAAGAAGAGACGAAGUGGUAGACCAAAACUCGUUCGAAGUGGACGGCCAGGCAGACCAACGAAACAAUAUAACUAUUUAAAUAUGAUGAAAUAGAAGUACCAGAAACGGAAGAAAAGGCGUUAACAAGCCAAGACGUAAAUGAGUGGCACGAAGCUAUGAAAAAUUAAUACCAAUCGUUAUUAGACAACGAUACAUGGCAAAUUGCGGAAUUGCCAAAAGGGUAGAAAGUAGUGCGCAACAAUUGCUUUAAAGAAAGACCAAAACGGUAAAAUUUGACGUUUUAAAGCAAGAUUAAUUACUAAGGGCUGUUCGCAAACUUAACGUGUGAACUAUAAAGAUACGUUUUCACUGGUGGUGCGAUAUAGGACAAUAAGAAUAAUUUUUGCGAUUGCAGCUGAGUAUAGUUUAUAUCUCUACCAAAUAAACGUUUCAACAGCAUAUUUGAACAGCGAGUUGUGUGAAGAAAUUUAUAUCAGCUAGGUUUGUAGAUAAUCCUUAUCCAGAUCAUUGCCUGAAGCUGAAAAAGACAUUGUAUGGACUUAAGCAGUCUCGUAAAACUGGGUCUAUAUGCGUUGGGCAAAAAUCAUAUAUGCAAAAGAUGUUAAGUGAAUAUAAUAUGGAAAACUGUCGACCGAUCGCUACUCCACUAGAUACCGGACAUCAAGUAAAUUGUAAUGAGAGUAAAUGUAAGAAGGCCAACCACAUGAAGUACCAGUCUUUCAUUGAUGUACCUAGCAGUAUGUUCGCGGCCAGAUAUUUUGCACUCAGCAACGAAACAACGAUCCACAUUCAGAGCAUAUGGCUGCAGCUAUGAGGAUAUUGCGUUAUCUGUGUAAUACUCAAGGCAUAUCAUCAAUACAUGCAACUAUGAAGUAUUUAAAAUUAAAUCGUAUUGAAACUGAACUUUUUAUGUACCUACACAUUUUCUCAUUCUUGUUCUAACCAUUGAAGAAUAAAUAUAAUAUUUUAACAAAAAGUUUAACAUAUGGCUUUUAAAACAACAACGCAGAUUCAAUAAAUAAAAAGAUAUUGCGAAAAACUCAGAAUUUAUUGUUACGUUGUUCUAGUGGUAUUGUUGCGUGCUCAGCUUUUCCAAAACACAUGAGACGUUUUUGAGCGAUUGACAAGUUGAGUGGGUUCAAACAUGAACAAUUUUUUAACAAUCAAAUGUUCAUGCAAUGUUCCAUUAAAGUAUAUAAUUAUUUUAAUCUCACGAUAGGUCACCAGACGAUCUUGCAAUAUCAGUUUGUGCGCAGCAUCAAUAGUAGUUGAUUACAUGUUUUUGAUGGAGCUUUAUCGUUAAAUUUAAUUAAGUUCAUUGAUUUACUGAUGCUGAGUUAGUCAACUUUGAAAGUUGUAAAAAAUAAUCGCACGAAAAAGUUCGCGAUUUUAUUAUAUUUUUUGGCCAAGAUAUUGUUAAAAAAGUAGUAUUAAGUUGUAUUUGUAUUGCUAUAUGCAUCCCUUAUUAUGAACAAUAGCUGUAGGUAUUUGGAAUAGCAUUUGUCUUGUUGUAGACAACUGGCGCCGCGGCUGUCUGCUUGUCGAAACAAUAGACAUCUGGCGCCGCAGCCGUCUGCUUGAACAAUUGCUGAGUCUGGCGCCACGGCUGUCUGCAUUUGGCCCGGUAUAGCAUUAUGUUCUCGUAAUUUCCAGACGCAAUAUUCUAGAAGGACACGUCGGCAUCAGCGAGAAGUGCGUGGCUAUAUAAGCCGUGGCAGCGCCAACGUAAUCAAUCAGUGCUAAGAGUAAACUGUUAUAGUGUAGACGAGUUGUAGAAUAAAGAGUUGUUGAAUUGAAUUAAACAGUUUUUGGUUUUAUUCGUCAAUCCAGAGAUACGAACCUAGCAAAGUAAACUAGCAAGCAGUAAAAUCGUAACAAUUGGUGUCAGAAGUGGGAUUGUCAAAUAAUCCAAAUUCAAGAUGGUUAAAUUCGGAGAAUUGAGAAUUCAGCAAUUAAAGAAGGAACUGGAGGAGCGUAAUUUGCCGAUAAGCGGGCAAAAGGCGGAUUUGCAGGCACGAUUACGUGAAGCAAUGGAAGCGGAUGGAAUUAAUGUGGACGAGUUCGAAUUUGUUGUGCCAGAAACUUCUACAAAGGUAGAAGAAAAAGUAGAAGAACAACGAACAUCAUCAAGUGUGGACAUGAACUUGCUGUUAGUGGCUAUUAAGCAAAUAGAAAAUCGUCUGGCACAGCAAAUAGCUGAAAAUACAGAAAAUGCAGUGCAAACAGAAAAUCGUCUGGCACAGCAAAUGACGCAAAUAGCUGAAAAUACAUCACAGUUAGAGUCUCGCCUUACACAACAAAUGACUGAAAAUAAUACGCAGUUAGAAAAGCGUUUGGUACAACAGAUUACAGAAAAUAAUACACAAGUGCAAGAGAAAUUUUCAAAAUUUGAAGACGAAUUAAGCACUUUAAAAAAUGACGAAGAAAAUUUAAAAUCAGAAGUUCUUUAAUUAAGUAAUCGUGUGCGAGAACUGCAACUACAUGGCCCUGCAGCAUCAACAAAUAAUCAAAGAUUGAAGGCACCCACAUUCGAUGGAAGUAUUCCAUUUCAAAUUUUCAAACUUCAGUUUGAAAAGACAGCAAUGGUCAAUAACUGGAAUGCCGCGGACAAAGUGGCGUCCUUGAUUGUAUCAUUGAAAGGACCUGCGGCAGAAAUCCUUCAGACUAUUCCAGACUGUGAACGGGACAACUAUGAGGCAUUGAUGAGUGUGAUAGAAAGACGAUAUGGUAGUGAGCACCGGAAACAAAUAUACCAGAUCGAACUGCAAAAUAGGGGUCAGAAGAUGAACGAGUCAUUGCAAGAGUUCGCAACUGAAAUAGAACGACUGGCUCAUUUGGCAAUUCAGAUGCACCUGUGGAUUACAUUGAGAGGGUAAAAAUUCAAUCUUUCAUAAAUGGAAUUCGUGAUGUGGACACAAAACGCGCCACAUAUGCAUUGCCAAAAAGAACGUUUGCUGAAACGUUUUCGCACGCCCUCACACAGGAAACAGCUUCGCUACUAAGAAACCAGCACACAAAGUACAAAGGGUUGAAAUGGAACAACCGGCGCUGAUGGAAGAAAUAUUGAAGACUCUGAAGACAAUUGCUGCACGGCGAGUAAAUACAACAGGCAGAUGUUUCAACUGUGGAAAAGCGGGUCACUUUGCCCGAAAUUGCAAUAUAAAGGUAAACCCAUCAAAACAACCAACAGAACACCGAAAGAGGAUUCACCACAAAAAUGCGGAUGCAUUAUCACGUCGCCCUUGUCCACUGGAAUGUAAACAUUGCUCCAAUCAGAAGGAAAAGAAGGUAUAAUCGACGUGCGAUUACUGAAUAUAGAACCUGAAGGUGAUUGGACUCCUCACCACAUCAGAAUCAAUCAGCUGGAGGACCCUGAUCUUGCAAAGCUGGUAAUGGCCAAAGAAAAUGGGGUACGACCACCAAAGGAACAAAUAAGUAGCGAGAGUCCAACUGCAAAAGCAUAUUGGGCCCAAUGGAACAGCAUAAACCUCGUUAAUGAAUACCUUCAUCGUACCUGCGAAAGCGAAGAUGGCAAACAGUCUCGUCUGCUGAUCAUAGUACCGAAGUCCAUGAUCCCGAAAGUAUUGAAAGAAUAUCACAAUGGACCUAGUGGAGGGCACCUUAAAAUUACAAAAACUAUAGAGAAAAUUAAACAACGGUUCUAUUGGAUCGGUUGUCGAGAUUCCAUAGCAGAAUGGAUAAGUAACUGCGUAGAGUGCAUGGCAGCUAAAGGUCCUAAAGCCAAAAGUCGCGGUAGGCUACAACAGUACAACGUGGGAUCACCAUUUGAACGAGUCGCAAUGGAUGUUGCAGGUCCGUUCCCAACCAGUACGGCCGGAAACAAAUAUCUACUGGUUGUCAUGGACUAUUUCAGUAAAUGGCCAGAAGUAUAUGCCUUACCAAACCAAGAAGCGAAGACAGUAGCCGAAGCGUUUGUAGAAAAUUGGAUAACAAGGUUCGGAGUGCCCGUCGAAUUACACUCAGAUCAAGGCAGGAAUUUCAAAUCUUCCAUUUUCCAAGAAGUCUGUACAUUAUUGGGCAUCCACAAGACACGGACAACAGCGUUACAUCCACAAUCAGAUGGAAUAGUGGAGAGAUUCAACCGAACGCUCGAAGAACAUCUUCGGAAAAUCGUUGAUAAAGAUCAACGGAAUUGGGACAAGUGCAUCCAGAUGUUCCUGCUAGCGUAUCGUUCAGCGAAGCACGAGACAACUAGUUACACGCCAGCAAAGAUUAUUUUCGGAUCUGAUCUGCGACUCCCUGCUGAUCUUUAGUUUGGACCGAAUCCUACAGCUGUAAGAAAUGAUGGAGAUUAUUGUUCUGCCUUAAAGGAAGAAAUGAAUGAAUUGCAUCUAAUGGUAAGACAGCACACGCAUCUGAUGAGCAAUAAGAUGAAGGACCGGUUCGAUCAAGCGGCAAAUUCAAAAGGUUUUGAAGAAGGUGAUCUGGUCCUGUUGUACAAUCCACUUCGAAAGAAAGGCUUGUCCCCGAAAUUGCAGACAGCCUGGGAAGGACCCUAUAUGGUGAUGAAACGACUUAAUGACGUGGUAUACCGCAUACAAAGAAAUGGAAAAGCACGAUGUAAAAUGAAAGUAGUACAUUUGGAGAGGCCCGCCCCAUUUGGUUCAAGAGGAUUUGUGCCUAAUCGGGACGAUUAGGCUUUAGUGGAGGACAGUGUUACAAAAGUAGUAUUAAGUUGUAUUUGUAUUGCUAUAUGCAUCCCUUAUUAUGAACAAUAGCUGUAGGUAUUUGGAAUAGCAUUUGUCUUGUUGUAGAUAUCUGGCGCCGCAGCCGUCUGCUUGUCUACUUAAACAAUUGCUGAGUCUGGCGCCACGGCUGUCUGCAUUUGGCGCCGUAUAGCAUUAGGCAUCAGCGAGAAGUGCGUGGCUAUAUAAGCCGUGGCAGCGCCAACGUAAUCAAUCAGUGCUAAGAGUAAACUGUUAUAGUGUAGACGAGUUGUAAAAUAAAGAGUUGUUGAAUUGAAUUAAACAGUUUUUGGUUUUAUUCGUCAAUCCAGAGAUACGAACCUAGCAAAGUAAACUAGCAAGCAGUAAAAUCGUAACAAUAUUUUAAGUUACAGUAAACCACACAAAUAGCGCUAGUAUGCCAAAACGUACUGACAAUGUAAAACCUUAAAAAUGUCAAACUUUACAAUAACGUUGUGAGUUGUGAGAUUACAACACUAUCGAAUACUGAGUUUAUACACAUAUAUCUUUUAUGAUAAAGUUUAACAAACAAAUUUUCGAAAGUAUUUCAUUUUCUGAAAUGGUUUCGUUUUUUUUUAUAACUGGUUCUAUUCGUAUUUCAUUUAAAUUUAGCAGUUUUAUUAAGAUGUACUUAAAGUAGACAUAAGCUUUGUUAUCUCCAAUAGUUCAUUCUUUUCAAUAAAUGUUAUAAACAAAUAUUUUUUUUUAG